GGGGGCGUCACGGCUUCGACGGAAGAGCUUGCGGCUGAGAGGCAUGCCGGGGUGCACACACCCGAAAUCGCGUGCAAAACAACAAUUGCCAACACUGAACUGGCAUACGCUGCUUAAUUAGUUAAGUAGCCGUCCUCCGCGGCUUCGUCCGCGGGCUGCGGAAGGGCGUCGCACAGCGGGCUGGCUCUGAGUCCUACGUCUGGGGGCUUGGGGCGAGACUUUCAGGCUAGCCAAUCGCGUUUCUUGUCCGUUUCUGAGCGCGAGAGGCGAAUGUUUCCGGCAACGGAAGCGGGAACGGACUAAGCAUGUAGGCUCUUUGCCAGUGACCCUUUCGGACGCGGGUUCAACUCCCGCCGCCUCCACCA
rnacentral:tmRNA from 1 species